UUGAACGCUGGCGGCAGGCCUAACACAUGCAAGUCGAGCGGUAGCACAGAGAGCUUGCUCUCGGGUGACGAGCGGCGGACGGGUGAGUAAUGUCUGGGAAACUGCCUGAUGGAGGGGGAUAACUACUGGAAACGGUAGCUAAUACCGCAUAACGUCGCAAGACCAAAGUGGGGGACCUUCGGGCCUCAUGCCAUCAGAUGUGCCCAGAUGGGAUUAGCUAGUAGGUGGGGUAAUGGCUCACCUAGGCGACGAUCCCUAGCUGGUCUGAGAGGAUGACCAGCCACACUGGAACUGAGACACGGUCCAGACUCCUACGGGAGGCAGCAGUGGGGAAUAUUGCACAAUGGGCGCAAGCCUGAUGCAGCCAUGCCGCGUGUGUGAAGAAGGCCUUCGGGUUGUAAAGCACUUUCAGCGGGGAGGAAGGCGUUAAGGUUAAUAACCUUGGCGAUUGACGUUACCCGCAGAAGAAGCACCGGCUAACUCCGUGCCAGCAGCCGCGGUAAUACGGAGGGUGCAAGCGUUAAUCGGAAUUACUGGGCGUAAAGCGCACGCAGGCGGUCUGUCAAGUCGGAUGUGAAAUCCCCGGGCUCAACCUGGGAACUGCAUUCGAAACUGGCAGGCUAGAGUCUUGUAGAGGGGGGUAGAAUUCCAGGUGUAGCGGUGAAAUGCGUAGAGAUCUGGAGGAAUACCGGUGGCGAAGGCGGCCCCCUGGACAAAGACUGACGCUCAGGUGCGAAAGCGUGGGGAGCAAACAGGAUUAGAUACCCUGGUAGUCCACGCCGUAAACGAUGUCGAUUUGGAGGUUGUGCCCUUGAGGCGUGGCUUCCGGAGCUAACGCGUUAAAUCGACCGCCUGGGGAGUACGGCCGCAAGGUUAAAACUCAAAUGAAUUGACGGGGGCCCGCACAAGCGGUGGAGCAUGUGGUUUAAUUCGAUGCAACGCGAAGAACCUUACCUGGUCUUGACAUCCACAGAACUUAGCAGAGAUGCUUUGGUGCCUUCGGGAACUGUGAGACAGGUGCUGCAUGGCUGUCGUCAGCUCGUGUUGUGAAAUGUUGGGUUAAGUCCCGCAACGAGCGCAACCCUUAUCCUUUGUUGCCAGCGGUCCGGCCGGGAACUCAAAGGAGACUGCCAGUGAUAAACUGGAGGAAGGUGGGGAUGACGUCAAGUCAUCAUGGCCCUUACGACCAGGGCUACACACGUGCUACAAUGGCAUAUACAAAGAGAAGCGACCUCGCGAGAGCAAGCGGACCUCAUAAAGUAUGUCGUAGUCCGGAUUGGAGUCUGCAACUCGACUCCAUGAAGUCGGAAUCGCUAGUAAUCGUAGAUCAGAAUGCUACGGUGAAUACGUUCCCGGGCCUUGUACACACCGCCCGUCACACCAUGGGAGUGGGUUGCAAAAGAAGUAGGUAGCUUAACCUUCGGGAGGGCGCUUACCACUUUGUGAUUCAUGACUGGGGUG
rnacentral:rRNA from 1 species